rnacentral:rRNA from 1 species
AUUGAACGCUGGCGGCAGGCCUAACACAUGCAAGUCGAGCGGAUGAAGGGAGCUUGCUCUUGGUUUCAGCGGCGGACGGGUGUGUAAUGCAUAGGAAUCUGCUUGGUAGUGGGGGAUAACGUCCGGAAAAGGGUGCUAAUACUGCAUACGUUUUGAGGGAGAUAGUGGGGGAUCUUCGGACCUCACGCUAUAAGAUGAGCCUAGGUCGGAUUAGCUAGUUGGUGGGGUAAAGGCCUACAAAGGCGACGAUCCGUAACUGGCCUGAGAGGAUGAUCAGUCACACUGGAACUGAGACACGGACCAGACUCCUACGGGAGGCAGCAGUGGGGAAUAUUGGACAAGGGGCGAAAGCCUGAUCCAGCCAUGCCGCGUGUGUGAAGAAGGUCUUCGGAUUGUAAAGCACUUUAAGUUGGGAGGAAGGGCAGUAAGUUAAUACCUUGCUGUUUUGACGUUACCAACAGAAUAAGCACCGGCUAACUUCGUG